UUCAUGAUUUGACUUCUUUAUUCCAGCUGAUUUUCUUACUGUGAAAAUUAUGGCUUUUGCCUAGCUGAACUGGCUACAAUUCAAAAAAAUCAUUUAAAGCAUCACGUCUCUUCAAGAAGAUAAUGGAACCUCAAGCCAACCAUUCCAAGUUUCUGAUGCAGUUAGCUGUCUGUUCACCUGAGAAUUGAGAGCUGACUUUCUAGGGUAGACAGGAACCCAGGGUAGGCAUAAGGCAAACAAGUGGCCAAGGUCACUGUGAGCAGGAUGAUGCAGUGAAACAAGAACCAGGAGUCAAGUGGCUCUCCUGCCCCUCAGUUAAUUUUUUCAUAAACUGCGGAAGAAACCCUAACGGCUUGUUACGAUGAUCAAAUAAGUCUGUGAAGGCUUUCUCCACAUUAAUGGCAUCUCGGGCUGACGUUUCAAUGUACUUCAUGCCGUAUGCAGCAGCCAGUUUCUCUGCCUCGUGGCGAGUCACUUGCCUCUGUGUAUCUAGGUCACACUUGUGACCCACGAGAACAAAUACAAUUUGGUAGGG